AAGAGCGUCCAACAAAUUAUCUAAUUCUACUUUACCUCUAAAGAAAAAUGUUAUGUUAGUGGAAGAAAAGUAUGGAUGCGUAUUCAUUUCAUUGCGCAUGUAUAAAUGUACAUCGUGUGUGUACAUAUUCAUGUUUGUGUAAAUCGCUCAUUACCAAAAAACAAUUAUACAUAUGCAGUUUAUGGAUUCAGUGAAGAGUAGAAUAAUUUGUUUAAUCGGGGUCAAUAAAAAUUUAAAUUAAUUUCUAUUUGAAAAACUUAUUGAUUGUUUAAUCGAGUAACUCAUAUUUGAAAAUGAUACCAAAUAUUUAAUCAUGAUAAAAUUAAUUGUUCUAUACGCAUACGAUAGUUAUUUAUCUUCUACGAUAUCAGUGCCAUAUUAAUCGACAAUAACAAAAUAAAGAGAAUUUGCAAUGAUGCUGGGAAGUUUUGUUAGUGCUGUUUCACUGCGAAGAUGUUUUUAUUUAUCGUCAAUGGUAUUUAUUUUGUCUACCUUAAUGGCAAUGAUGAUUAUAGUGAAAUUAACACCGUUAGAAUCUACAAAGUGUAAUUCCGCAAAUGCUGAUGAGACAACAGCUCGAAUUGAAUGGAGCAGUGCUAUACCUAUUGGAUCAAUAGCACAUAAUCGGUACUCAGAUAAUAAUGGCUCACUAUUUAUUAAUUCGCAAUUAAAUUCCAAUAAUGAAAGUCAACGGGAAUAUCGUGAUGAUAAGUUCUCAGACAUUAGGAUCAAUACUAAUAAAAAUAAUAUGCAAAUCAAAGUGCCAGAUUUAUCUUGGAAAAUGAGAAAUAAAGUUUUACCUUUAUUAUCUCAAAAAAAUGCCAAAGAUUUUGAUGUUAAUUAUCAUGUUCACAUUUUUUAUUAUCCAUGGUAUCGUUCUUUAUCAUAUGACGGCUAUUGGAAGCAUUGGAAUCAUAAUUAUAUACCCAAUUGGAAAAAAAAUGACAAGAAAGUUUAUCCAGUAGGUACUCAUCAACCACCCGCUGAUAUUGGAACUAAUUUUUAUCCUAGCCUUGGAUGUUACAGUUCCAAUGAUCCACAGGUGAUUGAUCUACACAUGAAACAGUUGAAGGAAACUGGUGUUGGAGUAUUGGUAGUUUCUUGGAUACCACCUAAUCUUCCCGAUAGUACAGAUUCACUAAUGGCUGAUUUAUUAGACGCAGCGCAUCGAUACAGUUUAAAAAUAGCUCCUCAUAUUGAGCCUUAUCCAGGAAGGAAUCCUAUUAAUUUAAUUGACCACAUUAAAUAUUUAUUUGAGCGAUAUGCAUCACAUCCUGCUCUUCAUAGAGUUAAAAAGCCUAAAACUGGAGUUUUGUUACCGAUGAUCUACAUUUACGAUUCGUAUUUAUUCCCACCAAGUGCUUGGUGGGAACUUUUGUCCGAACGAGGAAAUUUAACUCUUCGAAGAACUGAAUUUGAUGCCGUGUACAUUGGAUUAUUAGUAGAUUCACAGCAUCGUAGUCAAAUUAAAAAAUCUCACUUUGAUGGUUUCUACACUUAUUUUGCUGUUAAUGGGUUCAGUUAUGGAAGCACUUGGAAAAAUUGGAAAGAUUUGAAUAAAUUCGCAAACGAUAACGAUCUUCUAUUUAUUCCUAGUGUUGGACCUGGCUACAUUGACACACAGGUGCGUCCAUGGAAUGCUGAAAAUAUUAGAUAUCGUCGUCACGGACAAUAUUAUGAAGUGGCGUGGAAAAGUGCAAUGAAUAGUGGAGCAAACAUAGUAUCUAUUACAUCUUUCAACGAAUGGCAUGAAGGAACUCAAAUUGAACCAGCAAAACCUAUGGCCUUGUUGGUAUCUCAUUUAUCGGUAAUAAAGGAAUUAUUAUAUCCCUAGCCAUGUUACUUACCGUGCAGCGCUGCUGUACUAUUUUAAAACAAUGAAACAAUUUAUAAUAAAAAUUCAAAAAUGGCUAAUUUGUGUCAACGGUCGUGAUCUCAUUAUCAGAUAUUUUUUUUAUUGUAAAAAAAUGCAGAUCUUUAAAACUUAUAACUUGUUAUAAUUUCGCAAUACUGACCAUUUCAACAUGAUAAAAGAAUAUUUGUUUUCUGAAUGAUAAUGACGAUUUGAUCCAGUGUUUAUUUAGUGAACUUUAUAACCAAGAAAACCCAACUUACAUCUAAAUAUAUCACUGAUUAUUCAUCUAAACAAUAAUUUGACGAUGCUUAAAUGUAUGAUAUAAAAUAUAUUAAUAUCUAUUUACGAAUAACCUAAGAGUCAAAAUUGAUUUUAUGUGAAAAUAAUUAAAUAUCGACUCAAAAGAGAAAAAACUCCAUCUGAAACCUUAGAAGCGACGAUAGAUGUAUAUAUCUUGUUGAUGACACAUUCAAGCAUGUAUAACACCAACCUAGUUAAUUAGUAGCUACUGGGGUUGUUAGAAAUAGUAGAAUAAUCUCUAGCUCAAUUGACGUUCUACGGGUGUAACAUGAAAUCAUCGAUCGCGAUGUUACCACACCUGAAUGUUUCAUCGAGGCCAUAACAAGAUUUUUUAAGGCUCCAUUAAAUGAAGGCAAUGUGAGUCAUUCAAGUACAAGUAUCACGUAGCAUGACAAAGGCUGAUGGUUCAAACGAAAGAAUGAAAACAAUUGAGAAAGUGAAUUUCUUAAAAUAUAUAUGAGAGAAAUUAUAUUUUGUAACUGGUGCGUGAAGUUUGGAAAUGAAAAUAAUAAAAUUUUUCAGGUACAAUCUAAGGUGUACAAUGUGAUAUUUCAUUGAAUUAAUAUACACGAGAAUAUAUUUUAAUCUAAGAUCACUUUUUGUCUAGGAAUCAGAUAUCUGCAGACGAAUCCAGGCGUACCACGAAUUCCAAAUGAUGUUCUUCCAAUUCAUGUUUACAAAACUAGGACAAACCCUGUUGUGUAUUUUGUCUCGGUUGCAUGGUUUGCUCGUGAGCAUGAGAGUUUCUAUAUGAUACACACCGGAAAUCUAGCUUUUUUUACAAUUUCGAUUAGUUCUAUUUAUCUCAAUUAAACGUUAAUUAAAAACAAUAUCAAUUCCAUUUUUCUCGUGUGAAAAAUUACACUUAUAUAAUAGUACCUAUUGAUACUUUGGCCCGUAGUUAUAUACGAGAAAAUUGUCCGUGAACCGUAUGUGCUCUGAAUAAAUGAAUGUGUUGGUAAAUAAAAUACAGAGUCAAGAUAAAUAAUUUGAAAUUAAUAAAUAUAUAUUUAAUAAACAAUUUUUUUGGUAGAUAAAUCAAAUUUGUGCUGGCACUUUAUCAAUUAUGUGCAGUGUGCGUAGAUCUAUUUAUAUUUUCACCAUGUACUAAAAGAUCAAGAUAUAUCAAAUUGUAUUCUACAUUCAAAUAUGUAUGAAGUGUUGCUGAAUUUAAAAAAAAUAAUUAAAUUCCUUAAGCCAUAUUGACUGGACGGUUGCACAGUUAAGAAUGCAUUAAAGCUAGACCGAAGUAUCCAUGAAGUUGGUCAUGGAGAUCUCCAUUCUUAAAAUAGUAAUGAUGAUUAUGAUUGUAGAUAAAUAUUUCUACUUAAGUGCAAAAGUAAGGACAGCUAUAAGAACUGUGGCCAUGGCCAAAGCUGUUCGAUCACCAGCACCAGCUGUAAUUAUUGGAACAUCAGGUGCAUUACCAUUUUCAUGGUAUUGAUAACUCUUCGUGCCAGUGGAGAUCCUGAUGACUCGGUAGUUUGCCGUUUGUGUAUUAACUCUGUUAUUGAUAAAAUUUUGUAAUGAAUUAGUAACGCACCAGAGAUUUCCAUCUUCAUCGAAAGCAAACGUAUCGGGCCAUUGCAUUUGAACGUGAUCACGAGAAAUAAUCCGUUGUCCAGUAACAAAUGAAGGCAUUACUUUCAUAUCCCACAUGCCGACAGCAUCAUCGGCGAGAAGUCCAAAGUAGAGAACACCAGUAGCAGACAUCAUCAUACCAUCGGGCGGAAGUAAGUACAGCAUACAAAUGGAAUGAUGAUAAUGGAGAGUAGUAAACAUAACGUUCUGGAGCGUCAACUGGAGACAAAGCAAUUCCAUCGACAGCUGUUGGUGUUCUGACCCAGACAAUGAUGCCAGGAUCACGAUCGCUUGUGUCAGUAAUGUAUGCAUAGCCACCAUCAGUAUGAUCUAACACGAUGUCAUUAAGAUACGAAGAAUUAUGAGGAGUUACAUCUUCAGGAAAUGGAAAACUACGUAAAACGUCACCGUUAUUUUCAACGUCAAGAAUAACUAGACGUGGUGGACAUCUGGAUUUUGCUUCUGUCGUCAUGGUGGCUGUUCGACCAGUAUCUAGAACCCACAUCCGACCUUUAGGGUCAAUUUCCAUGCUUUGAACAAAUUGAAAAGCUCUACAAUCGCCCACGGUUUGCAUGUCCCAAUUGGGAUAAGCUUCAAUUUUUGGUGACCAAUUUCUGUUGAUUGGCUCUGCAGCAGUCACUCCUAGAGUCACAGAUUCCAAUGAUCAAUAAUAUUUUGGUUCUGGUUGCUUUGAAAAGAGAAAGCGGAAAAUGAAUGUGAUUCUUUUCCAAUAAAGAUUAAAUUAUUGAAUAGUGUUGUGACCAGGAACACCAGAAUUCAAGGAUGAUGACUAAUAAGCUAGUUGUAGAUAGUUAUUUUCAAACGUUACAUCCAUGGGUAGAUGGUGUAGCAUAGCUGCUUGCUUACUUGUUGGUUAAAUGCUAUUUUACUGACCGCACUUGCAAGCUAUGAUUAUGUAAGACCUUCUGUGUACCCUUUCUACGUGCUUCGCAUUGUCGCUUAAUUCUCUGUAAACAUAUUUUAAUGUUUCAACGAAACCGAUGAAGAUUUUUAUCAAUUAAACAAAUAUUCUAGUCAUUUUUAGCGAUGAUUCUUGUUCAACUUGACCUACUCACCUCAAGCACUUAUACCACCGGAAUUGGUAAUAUAAGUUUUUUCGAUUCAACGCAAAGUCUGAGUUAUUAACACUUAAAUAGACGUUUAGAAUAUGAAUGUAUAUUAGUAAAGUGCUUGUUACGAUUAUACUCUUAAUACAAUUAAUCAAAAUGACCGUGAUGAUAACCUCGACUUUCGGAUCAUAUUCUAAUUCUCAUUAAAGUGGAAGAUACAAAAAUGAAACUAUUAUCAAUGAUAAAUAUAUGUCAUUUGAUAGCUAUAAUAAAUUGAAGUGAAAAAUUUUAUGGUUCUUGAUUAUGAAUGAAUUAAAUGUAGGAGUUUAUACUCGACUGACUUUAUGUGUUUCUUAAUUAAUAAUUAUAUUCAAUGAGGAAAGUUGUUAGCGGAAUGAAAGAGACAUAGGUGAUGAUAUAUUAUUCUAUGUAGAAUUUACUAGCAUUCUUGCACGUUGGUUAUAAAGCUUUAAAUGAUCUAUAAAGCCAUAGAAUGUAGAGAGGGAACAGAGAAAAAGAAUUGACCUGGUUUCUUUUGAUGCAAAGGAUUACGUUAGAAAACAACUCGUUACAAGUGAAACGUUUGGACAAAAGCCUCUAUAUAUGACGUAAAUCACAAAAUAGACUAGAAUGCAUUUUUUCUAUAUCUUGUUGGUGUUGUUCAACUUGGGAUGGCAUAGUCAAAAGCCGCGCCUUCACUUUUCCGCUUCCUACUGCCCCACUAACAAGACUACAUCGGUUCCUGAAAUAGAACUGCGUGGUUAGCUGACGAGGAAGAUGGACGCAAAUAUAAGAAGAAUCAGACCCCAGAUAGACAGAUGUUGGUAAACUUAAAGAUAGAAAAGGAAAGUAAGACAGGAAUGAGGUCAGUGUAUUGAUAUCAAAAGUUGAAUUAACCGCCUAAACUUUUAUCGUAUCGCUUGACCUUUAUGAUCUAUUUUCAAAUUGUUCCUUAUCGUAUACUCUGCAUCUUUUUAAUCCGUAUAUUAUUUUUAAAUACUAUUUAUCAAUGAUUUGAAAAAAAUCAAAGGGUCCAUGAGGAAAUUGAAGAAUGAGUACCGUGGGACUAUUAUGAUGAUAAUAAUGAUGACAGUGUGCCAGAUGGAUGCUUUAUGUUUUGCAAUUGUUCACAACUUUGCACAAAUGGUAUUAGAGACAUUCAUAUUUUAGAUUUGAAAAACAUGAGUUGAAUUAUUCCUUUUUUCUUAAUAACUAAUAAGGAAACAAAAGCUGAAAACGAGAGCUCAUUAGUAACAUACACCAUUUAAGAGAGAUGAGAUGUUAUAAUUGCAUCUGAAUUUAAUACCUUGUCCGGAAAUUUAUAUCUAGUUGUGAGAGUUUAGUUCGGAAAAAUGGUAACAGAAAUCAGUCAUAUGUGUUAAAAAAAAUAUAUAAUAUCUUGGAAAUGUUGAUUAUGAUGAUGACUGUUGACAUGUGAUCUCUAGUAAUUGACUACUGUUAUUGCGUAUUAGAGAACACAUGUAAUAAGAUUAACGAUCGGAUGCUUUUGACGCUGAGAUACAGCUGUAGACAUCAACGGAUGACUCAUUAGAUUAGAUCGCUGCAAUUUAUAUUCGGUCUUUUUUUAUUCGUCAGCGACCGUGGUACACAUAGUCGAGUAUAUGGAGAAUAAUAGACAACUGUGUGCGUGAAUAAUUCUAUAGAACGCUGGCCCUAACUUGACCUGUGGGUGAACAUCGUAAAAAGUUCCCAAUGAAUUAAGGGAGUACAUUCACUUAGAACACGCACGACGACACUCGCGUGCACAAACUAUCACUUUAAUCAUGAUUAUGCGAAUCACGGAUAACUUGACCAUGGAUACUUCCCGCGCAUUAAACAAAUCGCUGUCUCUUUUUUUCAUGCAAGAAUUUAUGCGUAGCUAUAUAGAUUCUACAUGUUUAGGAAUGUAUAGAGAAGAGUUGAAUGUACGUAUCUCAACUAUGUAUAACCCAGUAGCGUGACUGACUAUUCUUUGAAAAUAUUCAACUCAACCAUAACUAUUAAUGAGUUAGCACGUGCACAA